rnacentral:rRNA from 1 species
UGAGGAAUAUUGGGCAAUGCCCGCAAGGGUGACCCAGCAACGCCGCGUGGAGGAUGAAUGUCGUAAGAUUGUAAACUCCUGUUAGAGGGGAAGAAUAGUACCGGUUGGACCGGUAUAUGACUGUACCCUCAGAGAAAGCCCCGGCUAACUACGUGCCAGCAGCCGCGGUAAUACGUAGGGGGCAAGCGUUGUCCGGAUUUACUGGGUGUAAAGGGCGCGCAGGCGGGAUAAAAAGUCAGUGGUGAAAUCCUACAGCUUAACUGUAGAACUGCCUUUGAUACUGUUAUUCUUGAGUUCGGGAGAGAGAGACGGAAUUCCAGGUGUAGUGGUGAAAUACGUAGAUAUCUGGAAGAACACCAGUUGCGAAGGCGGUCUCUUGGUCCGACACUGACGCUG